rnacentral:tRNA from 1 species
GGAGAGAUGGCUGAGUGGUUUAAAGCGAUAGACUGUAAAUCUGUUAAUAAAUAAAUUGCGUAGGUUCAAAUCCUACUCUCUUCA